UAAUUGCCAGAGUCCUAGCAAUGAAAGAGGU
rnacentral:piRNA from 1 species